rnacentral:lncRNA from 1 species
ACUAGUAAAAACCAAAAUGACACAUAAGAUCAGAGAUCCUAAGAAUUCUAAAUUUGCAGGAAGGGAAGCUUCCCAUGCCAAAUGCUCCAAACAUUACAACAAAUUAAAUCAUUUUGUAAGUUUUUUUUUUUUUCCUUAAAUCUUUUUGUAAGUUACUAAAUAUAAAAAAUUGCUAUAAAAAUUUGUAUUUAAGUUUUUAAAUUUUAAUUUUAUUAUUGAAGUGGCGAUUUUUAUCCCACAAAAAGUCUGAUUUUUAUAAUGAAUGCAACCAAUCAUCUAAUAUUCCAAUCAAGAAUCCAAUUUAUUUAGAACAACUAAACACAUGCAUCUAAGAUUUACAACAAAAGAAUUUGUUUUAACUACACAGAUCACUUAAAUAUGACAGUUUCAGUUUACCUUUCUUACAAUGUCAAGGUGAAGAACCCCACAGAACCUCAGCAACAAUGGUAGCAGCUUCAGCAUCAGAAACAGAAGCUUCCCUAACUCUCUUCAAUAUCUCCUGUUUGAAUGCU